GUUCCACUCCCAUCAGCUAUACAGAAGAAGAAGAAGUGUCCCCAGUGGGCAGGCCGUCACCAACUCUGAGGGGUGGAAGACAUUGCCUGGUCCAAGGAAUACAGGUUCCUGUUGCAUCACGCUGAUGGCAGAGCAUUGCCUGGUCCAAGGAAUACAGGUUCCUGUUGCAUCACGCUGAUGGCAGAGCAUUGCCUGGUCCAAGGAAUACAGGUUCCUGUUGCAUCACGCUGAUGGCAGAGCAUUGCCUGGUCCAAGGAAUACAGGUUCCUGUUGCAUCACGCUGAUGGCAGAGCAUUGUCUGGUCCAAGGAAUACAGGUUCCUGUUGCAUCACGCUGAUGGCAGAGCAUUGUCUGGUCCAAGGAAUACAGGUUCCUGUUGCAUCACGCUGAUGGCAGAGUCAGGGUUUGGCGUAAGCAGCGUAAGUCCAUGGCCCCAUCCUGCCUGGUGUCAACGGUACAGACUGGGGGUGUAAUGGUGGGGGAUCCAUGGCCCCAUCCUGCCUGGUGUCAACGGUACAGACUGG
ensembl:lncRNA